AGUCUAUAGUUUCAUAUAUUGUGAUGUAUUAUAUCCUGAAACAUCUUAAAACUUAGUAAUGGAGAAAGAAAUCUAGUUUAAAAAAAGAAAGAUAAGUACUGAAAAGGAAUAGUAUAAACUUAAUUUAAGUAGCUAAAAUUAGCGUACUUUUUGUAUCACGGCUUAGCGAGAGAAGGUUGAGAUUUCAAAAUCUCGAAAGUUGGUGAGCUAUUCUCUUUUAAGAUUUUAGUUUUGUAGAAUUUUAGCUUAAAGUGUGGCAGGACUUUAGCCACAGAAGAGAAUAGAAAUGAGAUUUUAUCCGCACUAAUGAUAGCUAGUUCCCUUAUAAAGGUAUAAAAGUGCCGAAGUAAAGCUAGAUCAAAAAUAAUAAGUUUUUAGAUUAUGCUUACAUUUUAGCUUGCUGAGGAUAAGCUCAGCAAGAAUAUUAAAUUAAAAAGUAUUGUUGUUAGACAGUUAUAUAGGCUUGAAAUUAGCUAUUAUAUUAGAGUUUGUUACAGAACAGCUCGCAUAUAAGCAAUGAAAGAUCAAUAUACUUUUACAUAUAAGGGUAAUUCAGAAGAACUGAGAAUCGGAUUCAUUUAUGCUAGGAUGAGUAUUGAAAUAUAAAAAUAUGUAGGUUGAGAAAUAAAAAUACAUAUAAGUAAUUUUAUUAGAAAGGAAAAUAGGAAUAAGGAACUCGGCAAAUUUUGCAUCCGCCUGUUUAUCAAAAACAUGUCUCUUUGUUAGUUAAAUAUAAAGAGUCUGACCUGCCCAGUGAAGUUUUAACGGCCGCGGUACUCUGACCGUGCAAAGGUAGCAUAAUCACUUGCCUUAUAAUUGAAGGCUUGUAUGAAUGGUUUGACGUGAGCAUGACUGUCUCCUUCCUACUUUAUAGAAUUUAACUUUUGGGUGAAGAGGCUCAAAUAAAAUUGAAAGACAAAAAGACCCUGUCGAGCUUAAAAAGGAAUUAAGAAUAAUAGUAUAUUUUUAAAUUAAUUACUAAUUAACUUUUUUGGUUGGGGCGACCAAGGAACAAAUAAAGCUUCCUUUAAUUUUAACUAGCUAAUAAGCAUUGAUCCAGAUAACUGAUUAGAAGAAUUAGUUACCGCAGGGAUAACAGCAUAAUCUCUCUUGAGAGACCUAAUCGAAAGAGGGGGUUGUGACCUCGAUGUUGGACUAAAAUAUCCUGAAGGUGCAGAAGUCUUCAAGGG
rnacentral:rRNA from 1 species